CAAAAUUAGUACUUGAUUGACGGCCGGAGGGAUUCUUGCAGACACAAGUAAUUUCUCAAUCUUCCUGCAGGUAAAAUUGCUAACACCUAUUGAUUUCGUGAGGCCAAGAAUUUGACACUCUUCCAUGGCUUUCCAAACAGAUUCAAUAUCCAUUAUGACAAUAUCUUCUGCUGGUUUAAAAGGAAAGUGAGUUCCUGGCUUCAAACUCACAGGAAAAUGAAUGAGAUAUAAGUCAAGGUACUCCAGUCCAAGAUUCCUGCUCCAACAAUAAUAAUUAUAAUAUAACAUAACAAAACCAAACUGAACAUUAUAUACGAAAAUAACAUGAACUCAUAAUUUGAUUUCUUAUAUGGUAAGUACUAAAAGUAUAAAGAUGAAUGAUUACUUGAGAGUCUGUUGUAGUGCAGGGAGAACGAGAUGAGAGUGGCCGCUACCGGGAGAUAACUUAGAGGUGAUAAAUAACUCAUCGCGUGACUUAAUAAGGCCACGUUCCAAAGCGUCAGCUAUGGCAUCGCCAAGAGGCUUC
rnacentral:lncRNA from 1 species